UCAGCGUGCCACAGAAUACCCUGAGGCCCAAGCCGGGCAGGAGAUCUUGCAUGACUUGGAAGCUUGGUCCGUGUAGGAUGCACGUCCCUUCAUACAGAUUUGGUCAAGGAAGGAAUAUAUUUGCCACCAGCUCCGGCCAGACAGUCAUAAAGUAGAAAUUAUGUCUCCCUCUCAAGAUUUCUAAAGGACAAUCAACCAGGACCAAAGGAAACCUUGCCUGUUUGAGGAUGUGAGUUGGUCCAGGGCAGUGAAUGACAGAGGGUUUAGCCAACAGCAUAUAUGCAGCUUGGCAGCAUGAUUUUCAUACCAGCAAUGACAGUAUAAGGUGAGUACAAUUUAUGCUGGAAAUGGCAAAAUAGUGAAGGAAAUGGAUCCGGGAAUGGCGGAAAGUGGUAUCUCCUGAUUAAUGCCAGUGAGGUGCAGUCCAUCCAUCUAGCCAUGUGGAAAACUUGAAGCAUUCUGAUGAAACCCGGUCAUUUGCUCCUUCCAUUCUGAUCUUCCUCGAGGAUAUGGUAGUGCUAUCUACUGACUGAGGUGGGUAGCUUCUUCUGGAAGUGCUACACAUCUUUGGGAAAUUUGACCAGCGAAAUGUGGGACUUGGAGCACUCCUUCAGGAGUGGAGAAUCUCUCAGUUUUUACAGGGAACUGAACUGAAAGAGGCCGCUGUUAGAGUUUCAGUGAAUAAAAAGAUACCACAUUGCCAGAGGGAAGUUGAUAUGGGACUGAGCAUCCUGCCUGGAGAGCAGAGGGGUGUCCACAGCCGGGAGCUGGUACCCUUGCGAGGCCCCUUCACCGGUCGUGGGUAGAGAGUCAGUGGGAAGACAGAUCUCUAAGUCCUGGGCUGGGGAGAUUUCCUCAGGGUGUGAGCCAGGGCCACUCCCCGGGGAAGGUGGAGAGUCGGAUCCAGACUUUAA